rnacentral:lncRNA from 1 species
CCAUGGACGAUGCCACUACUGAGCAGCUACGGCAUACAAUGCCCCAACAAAACCACGUCUUGUACUAGUGUAUUGCGUUGCGGUUGCGGACGGGCGACAAGGCUUAUAUGGCAACAGCGAUGGGAUGACAAGGGGUUAUCUUGAGGAUCAGACAUGGAAGGACGGCACUAUCCGUCCCAAGUCCGAACAUGCUUAGGUUUAUAAUAUAACCGGGGGAGCACCUUCCUUCCGAUUCCGUCGUCAGCUCUUUAGCCUUUAUUAGGGAUGCUUGAGGACGGGCGAUUUCAGUAGGUGCGGUUAAGUCGUGAGCUGUUAAUUCAGAGGAGCCAUUCAUAGCCAUUGACGAGCUUUAGUUCAUGAUGGCCUUAUUAGGAAGGCUCGCUGGUGACCACGACCAGAAUACAAGGGAACCGCCGGUGGGGCCCAUGCUUUCGAAGGUGCGAGAUUGAGUAAAAAGCCACACCUUUUCAUUUUCUGACCUUGCCUUGAAUGUGUCGCAACACUCUUUUCCUGUCGGAAGGCAGCUUUCUUCCAAAGUGUUUUCCAGCGUGUACACGUUCACGCGAAUGUGCAGGGCUGCCCUCCCCACCUUAACCCUUGCCAGGUUUAGUGCUAAAAUGUUGUAUUUGAAAUGGGAUGCUCUCAUAGAAGUAUUUCAAACAGAACAGCUAGCUUUCACUUUCACCGGCACCAAGCUUUGAAAAUCCGUCAUUCUAAAACUAGAUGUCAUUUAUGCACGUCCGAAUCUCCUGGAAUGUCAUCUCAGGCAAAAAAUACAACCAUGACGACCAGGUCUUCAUUUGAACCAAUUCCAGUCUAAAUUACUUGUAUAGCUUCGGUACGUCAUCCUAAUUGUAUAAACCACUCGGAGCUGCUCCGACAAACAAGAAACAACAGUACCGAGCAGGAAGGGUGGAUGACGAGAUCAUCCGUAGGCACUUAGGCCUUGAGGCCUCCCUUAGCUUGACAAAUGUUGGGAAGAUUUUCAUUGCCUCUCCGACUCAGGCAAUCUCACACUCGCUCUUGUAGUCUCGUGUACAAUACAAGGUCUCUUUCUUCAACUCACAUGACCUAGUCAACAUCUAACCACGGUGUGCUUGCAGAAUCAUGCAAGGCUGGAUUCUGGGCGCUUGCCUUGUUCAGCNNNNNNNNNNNNNNNNNNNNNNNNNNNNNNNNNNNUUCAGCAGGGCAAUGCAAGCUUUCACUGUUGAGAACAAUUAAGCAAGUUCAUAAUUUUUUGAUCAUCUGAUUUUGCAGAAGUUAUUACUAACAAGAUUCCAAGCAAAUACACAAUCUGUUCUGUAGUAUAUGGUGAUGCAUUUUAGUGCUUAGGCAUUCGAUUAUCUUAAAGCUAAACCUACAUGCUUUGUAGAUCAUGUCGGCUAGUUUCCAGAAAACACCGUACGUGUUACACUCAUGGUUUGACCAUAUUCAAAAGUCAUACACACACUUCUUCUGUGUUAAUGCAUUCACCUGAAAAUGCACCUUACACACUUCUGGCUAUCUGUCCAUGUCAAGAUCCCAACAUCCCCAUCUUAACCAUAGUGUCCUUAACAACUGUCAAACACACUUGAAAUUAGUCAACAGAAGUGCUGGUAAUUGGUCACAAGUUAACAGAAAGAGUAUGAGAUACGUCAAUGAUAAAGCGGAAAGAGAUUGAGCAGACACA